rnacentral:rRNA from 1 species
UGGCGAACGGGUGAGUAACACGUGGGUGAUCUGCCUUGCACUUCGGGAUAAGCUUGGGAAACUGGGUCUAAUACCGGAUAGGACAGCUGUUUAGUGUCAGUUGUGGAAAGUUUUUUCGGUGCAAGAUGAGCUCGCGGCCUAUCAGCUUGUUGGUGGGGUAAUGGCCUACCAAGGCGGCGACGGGUAGCCGGCCUGAGAGGGUGUACGGCCACAUUGGGACUGAGAUACGGCCCAG